AACGCAGGUGUCCUAAGGCGAGCUCAGGGAGGA
rnacentral:piRNA from 2 species